rnacentral:rRNA from 1 species
UACCAGCCCCCCGAGUGGUCGGGACGUUUAUUGGGCCUAAAGCCUCCGUAGCCGGUUCUACAAGUCUUCCGUUAAAUCCAACUGCUUAACAGGUGGGCUGCGGAAGAUACUAUAGAGCUAGGAGGCGGGAGAGGCAAGCGGUACUCGAUGGGUAGGGGUAAAAUCCGUUGAUCCAUUGAAGACCACCAGUGGCGAAGGCGGCUUGCCAGAACGCGCUCGACGGUGAGGGAUGAAAGCUGGGGGAGCAAACCGG